CCUACGGGAGGCAGCAGUAGGGAAUUUUGGUCAAUGGGCGCAAGCCUGAACCAGCAACGCCGCGUGAAGGAUGACUGUUUUCGGAUUGUAAACCUCUUUUGUUAGAGAAGAUAAUGACGGUAUCUGACGAAUAAGCACCGGCUAACUCCGUUCCAGCAGCCGCGGUACUACGGAGGGUGCAAGCGUUACUCGGAAUCACUGGGCGUAAAGAGCGCGUAGGUGGGUUAGAAAGUCAGAUGUGAAAUCCUAUGGCUUAAACAUAAAACUGCAUUUGAAACUGUUAUUCUAGAGUACGGGAGAGGUAGGUGGAAUUCUUGGUGUAGGGGUGAAAUCCGUAGAGAUCACGAGGAAUACCGAUUGCGAAGGCGGCCUGCUAGAACGUCACUGACGCUGAUGCUCGAAAGCGUGGGGAGCAAACAGGAUUAGAUACCCGGGUAGUC
rnacentral:rRNA from 1 species